CGUGUAGGCGGCCAGGUAGGUCUGCUGUGAAAACUCGAGGCUCAACCUCGAGACGUCGGCGGAAACCAUCUGGCUAGAGUCCGGAAGAGGAGAGUGGAAUUCCUGGUGUAGCGGUGAAAUGCGCAGGUAUCAGGAAGAACACCCGUGGCGAAGGCGGCUCUCUGGGACGGUACUGACGCUGAGACGCGAAAGCGUGGGAGCGAACA
rnacentral:rRNA from 1 species